UCUGAUCAGGGUGUCAGUGUUAAACGAAGUUGUGUUUGCAGGAAAUAUAUUUAAGAGUUACGAAUAUUGUGCAACUGCAGCAGCAAAACAAGGAUUGUGUCCUCAGGCAAAGCUUGGGUCAAUGUGUUGCGACGUAAUACUACACAGACGGCAGGUAGCAGCAUACCGAUUGCGCGCAUGAGGGUGUAAACUGCCGUUGCGUGAAUUUGUUGCGCUUCUUGACGUGGGUGAAGCGACGUGGAAAUGUCAAGUCGACGAUAUCAGCCACAUUACCGAUUUCUCGUUUCCACGUGCGCUGGGGUCCAGCGAUAACUGCUGUGUGGCGGUUGAGCAGCGAGGCUGGAGGAGGAGGAGGGAAGAAGAAGAAGAAGAUGAAGUACGGUGAAGGUGGCGGUAGCCGCGGUGACGCGCGACCCCGCCCCCAACGCUCCAGUACGCAAACUCCACCUUCGUCUUGUCACCUAUUGUCACUGCGCUAACAGUACCUGCUGCUUUCACAUCCACCAAUGAGGCGCGGCAAGAGGAGGGAUUGACUCGUCUCCUAUUGGCUGAUGGUCUGGUGCACGGGGAGGAAGAUGGAUGGCGCUGAUGUAGCACGGUCCUUGUGGUCUGUGAAGGCAGUCCGAGAGACUGGGUUGCUAAGAGUUCACGUAUCGAUUUUGUGUGAAGAGAGGAGACUGGGGAGGUUUUAUUGCAUUUUGAAGCUUCGAGAAAUGUUACUGCUUGCUUAUACCCUCAGGUGACAUGUUCUGUGUCCAGAAUUACAUAGGGAUUUAAUUUACGAGAGUAUAAACUAAGAAAUGCGAUUGAAAUAU